rnacentral:sRNA from 1 species
UUCAGAGGAUCAAAGACUAAUAAUGCCGCGUCCUGCGGCGUCUUUGUGAACCUGUCCUGGGGG